rnacentral:rRNA from 1 species
AUGGGCCGCAAAGGCAAACACGACCGCGAGGCUGGUUCCUCGUCUGAACGCCGCCGCGAGCCCGCGUCGCCAUCGCCACCACGCCGGGCCCCCGCGCCGCCCGCCUUCUCUAUCGCGCCCACGUCCGCCAGUGAGCACGACCGGCAUUACAUCCGUGCGUCGGUGUGCCGCCGUUAUUGGGAGACGAGGACGCCGCUCCCCUGGAGCGACGUCCAUCUCCCUAAUAACUGUCAUCUCUCCGCCGACCGGGUCCCGAUCCCGCCGGUCCCGACGAGCGGCCGUGCGCGCGACACGGAGAUCGAGCGUCGCCGCCGCCUCCUCCCCGACGACCUCUUCUAUGACCCCAGGUACGCUCCCGACUCCGGGCUCUGGGACACCUGGUUUCAUGACGAGCACGACACCAGGCGCGCGUCGUUAUUCGCCGGCACCUCAACGGGGCCGCGGCGGCCACGACAGGAGCGCGCAGCGCCUGCUCCCCAGGAGCGCGGGCGUAGGCGGGUGCGCGGUGUCAAGCCCAUGCCGUCGCCUUCCCCGUCUCCGUCACCACCUCCCCCUCCUCGCAUGAUAGCGGAGGAGGAGGCCCGUCUCCUGCAGCAUGUCAUGGACGACUCCAUGAACACGCAUGACGAGCGGUAG